CCACACUGUGGUUUCCGGGGCUUUGACAGUACUGACGCGUCUUCCUCAAGAUAUUCUGACUCCAAGUUACUCAUUGAAGUCGCGUUAUUCAGCUAAAAAGUUGUUCAUUGAUCAAAAAUUAAGCUUUGUUCAAAAUCUCGUACUCCCUGCGUUAGGGUUUGCUUUGAAGCUUUUCCUACUCUUUGCACUUGCUUCUUCUUCUGGAGAGCUGUAGAGUUUUGGACGUGCCGAAAAUCGACGUCUAGUGCCCAUAGGUUCCAGCUGCUUAAUGAGAUAUGUUUCCACAUUUCUAUCUUUGAGGUUCUACCCUGGGAUUCCUCCACUUUCCAGAUGAUUAGCUAGUGUAACGUCAUAUGACCAAACGUCAAACUGCCAUUUUCUAAGGCCUAAGACACCACAGAGAACUGAACCGCUGUGAAUUCCAAUCCGCAUAUUCAGAUCUGUCUAUGAAAAUGGUUCUCCAAUGGGACGUCACCCAACAAAUAAUGCGGGUCUCUAUCACCCUCCAGCUCCAGCGACACGUAAUCAAUAUCGAUGAUAGAUUAUGAAUUUCCCAGCCAAAAAUUUGGUAAGGUUCGUAUUUCACGCUCAUUUACUUCACUUUAUUUUUAAUUUCGUUGAUUUGCUUACAGGGUUGAUUGAUUUUAAGUUAUUCGAAUACACUGAGCGAUUUUUGGACUUGCAAUUCAGAACAAAUGUCUUUUGGCUUAUGCUUAAAGAUGAGGGAUGGUAAGGGAAAUGAGAUGAUUUAAAAUAGAACAAAAAGAACAACCUUGACAAUUGUUACGUAAUAAUCUAUCGGUUAAGAUCACUUGAGCAUUCCUUCUGUCACAAGGUGUCAAAAUAGAGAAGUCAAACAUGAAGCGUCUUCAAGCGCUUCGAGUAACUCGUUGAAUAUUUCAAAGAAUAGAAUGCAACCAUUUGUUUCGCAUUUUCUGAAUGAAAUCCUUGACUUAAUACUUUUUUUCAGCUUUUUAA
rnacentral:lncRNA from 1 species